rnacentral:rRNA from 1 species
UAGGGAAUCUUCCACAAUGGACGAGAGUCUGAUGGAGCAACGCCGCGUGAGUGAAGAAGGUUUUCGGAUCGUAAAGCUCUGUUGUUGGUGAAGAAGGAUAGAGGCAGUAACUGGUCUUUAUUUGACGGUAAUCAACCAGAAAGUCACGGCUAACUACGUGCUAG